rnacentral:rRNA from 1 species
AUUGAACGCUGGCGGAAUGCUUUACACAUGCAAGUCGAACGGCAGCACGGACUUCGGUCUGGUGGCGAGUGGCGAACGGGUGAGUAAUGUAUCGGAACGUGCCCAGUCGUGGGGGAUAACGUAGUGAAAAUUACGCUAAUACCGCAUACGAUCUAUGGAUGAAAGCGGGGGAUCGCAGGGCCUCGCGCGAUUGGAGCGGCCGAUAUCAGAUUAGGUAGUUGGUGGGGUAAAGGCCCACCAAGCCAACGAUCUGUAGCUGGUCUGAGAGGACGGCCAGCCACCCUGGAACUGAGACACGGUCCAGACUCCUACGGGAGGCAGCAGUGGGGGAUUGUGGACAAUGGGCGAAAGCCUGAUCCAGCCAUUCCGCGUGCAGGAUGAAGGCCCUCUGGUUGUAAACUGCUUUUGUACAGAACGAAAAGGUUUCUACUAAUACUAGGAGCUCAUGACGGUACUGUAAGAAUAAGCACCGGCUAACUACGUGCCAGCCGCCGCAGUAA